rnacentral:misc_RNA from 1 species
AACCUGGUUUUUUUAAGCACUUGGUUUAAGCUAAAAUGCUAAAAAUAUAUGAAAAGCCACAAGUUAGAGUUUCUUACUUUAGACUUUUGGCUUAUAAGUUAAAAAAACGAAAAGCAAUUGAAUCAAGCUUAGUUUUGGAUGGAUGUGCAUGUCUCAUUUUGAUCAUUCAUAGCUUAGGGUGCUUGCAUCCUAUCUUAUUGAAAGUUGAAGUGGUGCUUACUUGUUUGUGCAGGAACAACAGUCCUAUAGUACUUUCUUUCUUUUUCUAUUUUCUCUAUCUUUACUGUCACUUAAAAUAUUUUGUUUUGGUAAUCAAGAUCUAUUUUGUUUAUUAUCUCUCAUGUUAUUAGUGCCUUUAAUCUCGUAAACGGCUGUAGUUGAUAUCGUAAUUUGUGUUGAAUAUGUACCCGAAAU